AAGGGGAGCAAUCCCUGAGUACAGCGGCGUACGGGUGAGUAACACGUGGGUAAUCUACCUUUUAGUGGGGAAUAACCCUGGGAAACCGGGGCUAAUACCGCAUAAUCCUGUGAAGGGAAAGCAGCAAUGCGCUGAAAGAGGAGCCCGCGGCCGAUUAGCUAGUUGGUGAGGUAACGGCCCACCAAGGCGACGAUCGGUAGCCGGCCUGAGAGGGCACACGGCCACACUGGCACUGAAACACGGGCCAGACUCCUACGGGAGGCAGCAGUGGGGAAUCUUGCACAAUGGGGGAAACCCUGAUGCAGCGACGCCGCGUGAGCGAUGAAGCCCCUCGGG
rnacentral:rRNA from 1 species